UCAGAGGCACUGGCUCCCAGUGCUUGAUUCACAAAGAGAACUCAGCUUCAGGAGGUCACUCGUUCACAGCUGCUCCUCCCAUAAUAUUUUUUCCCUCAUUGCAGAACUGCUGCAUGUAUACAGUGACUGAAAGGACUCAAUUUACUGCAACUGCAGCCCCGUUUUACUGACAACUUUCUUUAAAGGGGGACUUACCGUCCAUCUGUCUUGUAAAGCUCCAGGUGGCAGAACUCAACUCUUGGGACAUCUCCUCAUCUGGUGCUGAGCGCUAUGGAGUCUAAGCCUGGGGUAUUUAUGGUACAAUGAUGAAUUUCUUCUUUCCCAGAAUGGUAAGCAGAAAGCUAUUUCUACCUCUG